UAGGGAAUAUUGCACAAUGGAGGAAACUCUGAUGCAGCGACGCCGCGUGAGUGAUGAAGGCCUUCGGGUCGUAAAGCUCUGUCGUAUGGGACUAACAAAAUGAAGGUACCAUGCAAGAAAGGAUCGGCUAACUUCGUGCCAGCAGCCGCGGUAAGACGAGGGAUCCUAGCGUUGUUCGGAAUUAUUGGGCGUAAAGCGGGUGUAGGUGGACUUAUAAGUCAGGUGUGAAAUCCCAGGGCUCAACCCUGGAAGUGCACUUGAUACUGCAAGUCUUGAGUGUGGUAGAGGCUAUUAGAAUUCUUGGUGUAGUGGUGAAAUACGUAGAUAUCAAGAGGAAUACCGGAGGCGAAGGCGGAUAGCUGGGCCAACACUGACACUGAGACCCGAAAGCGUGGGGAUCAAACAGG
rnacentral:rRNA from 1 species